AGAUAUUGCGUGCAACUAAAAAUGGCAAGAAGAUGAUGCUAAAAUUCACUAAAGCAUAGAUUGAGUUUCUUAGAUUGCCAAUCUCAAUUGAUUUGUACAAUGAGCAUAAGGUUUAUAAGCAAAAGAAAAGAUACAAAGUAUUAUACAGGUCAUGGAAGCUCCAAAAGACAGAAGAGAUAAGUCAUCUACCAAUAGACCAACUUCAGGGCUUAGAGUACAGUAUAGAUUCAAAACAAUCUUAGGUUAUGUUAAACUUUAAUCCUUCCUGAACUUUCAUUUACAGUUUUAUUGAUAGAUUGAAUUUUUUAUUUUAUUUUUUUGUUUAA